rnacentral:rRNA from 1 species
GAUGAACGCUGGCGGCGUGCCUAAUACAUGCAAGUCGAGCGAACGGACGAGAAGCUUGCUUCUCUGAUGUUAGCGGCGGACGGGUGAGUAACACGUGGAUAACCUACCUAUAAGACUGGGAUAACUUCGGGAAACCGGAGCUAAUACCGGAUAAUAUUUUGAACCGCAUGGUUCAAAAGUGAAAGACGGUCUUGCUGUCACUUAUAGAUGGAUCCGCGCUGCAUUAGCUAGUUGGUAAGGUAACGGCUUACCAAGGCAACGAUGCAUAGCCGACCUGAGAGGGUGAUCGGCCACACUGGAACUGAGACACGGUCCAGACUCCUACGGGAGGCAGCAGUAGGGAAUCUUCCGCAAUGGGCGAAAGCCUGACGGAGCAACGCCGCGUGAGUGAUGAAGGUCUUCGGAUCGUAAAACUCUGUUAUUAGGGAGGAACAUAUGUGUAAGCAACUGUGCACAUCUUGACGGUACCUAAUCAGAAAGCCACGGCUAACUACGUG